UGGAAUCAAGAUCUGUGAUCUUAAAGUAACCAGGUCUGUGAGUUUCAAAGUUCAAAUUCCAGUACAUACAGGGUUCCAUUUCUUUCUCUACUUCAGAACCACAAAUUGAGCCUGGCGAAAUCGUUCAAAAUCAAAGAUGUCAAAGCAUAUAUAUCAGAGUACAGAGGGACUAAAUCCAUUCGACAUACGAAAGAUAUCGUCUCAGCGGUCGAUGGCUUCUUCGAGAAAUGAAGUCGCGACAUUGAAUUUCGGCUUCGAAAUCAACAGAGAGCAGAGUACCUGUAACUCAAAAGAAGACCAUAUUGGAAGUUCACUCCAGCUCUACAUCCUGGUUCAAACCUAAAUCUUAACUACGGAAUCAGCCGCCCCCAACAAUCGGAAUCGAAACCUUGAAGCUUCGUCUCGCAGAGCACAAAAUACAGAAAGCACCCGCGAAAGUCCACCAUUGCUAGAGAAGUCACUGCUACAAACCACACAAAUUUCGUCACAGGCUAACUUACGAAACCACAACAUGUCCGAAUCAUUAACGUAAUGAAUGAAACAAGGAGGUAGAUUGUAGAACAUAAAUAACGAGAUACACGAAGCAAACCACAAAGCAGCUCCCUUUACCUCCAAGAGCAAUAUCGAUCGGAACCUGAAAAAACAGAGGUAAAAGUUGAAGCCUUUCUGUUUCAGUUACCAAACGGUACUAAAGGGCAUCAUCAAACUGCUGGCAUGAUCCAAAAGAGCUGUUUUGGAAAGCUCUCUAAUGGUUACCAUCAUCAUUCAUGGCCAUGCUUAGCUUAUAGGGGGACACAGUUUUCUUUCUUUGUUUCUUUAUAGUACCAAAGGGAAAAACACAGAGCAUCUUCUUUUUUCUUCCAACUGCUUUGUUUUCACUUGAGUUUGAUUGGAAACCACCAACGUAUAUGAUUCUGCAAUAUCACACACACUACAUCUUAUCCAUAUACUUGGAAGACAUCAAUGUAUGAAGAAGAGGGCCCCUAAAGGGGGGUUUGUGGAAGUGUGUAG
rnacentral:lncRNA from 1 species